rnacentral:snRNA from 1 species
GGACUCCAGGCGGUACAUAUACUAAAAUUGGAACGAUACAGAGAAGAUUAGCAUGGCCCCUGCGCAAGGAUGACACGCAAAAAACGUAAAACGACCUUGUACACAUCUGU